rnacentral:rRNA from 1 species
UACGAUACGUAGUUUGAUCCGUGGCUCAGAUUAGAACGCUGGCGGCAUGCCUUACACAUGCAAGUCGAACGGCAGCGACGGGGGCAACCCUGGUGGCGAGUGGCGAACGGGUGAGUAAUACAUCGGAAUGUACCCAGUAGUGGGGGAUAACUAGUCGAAAGAUUAGCUAAUACCGCAUACGCACUAUGGUGGAAAGCGGGGGAUCGCAAGACCUCGCGCUAUUGGAGCAGCCGAUGUCCGAUUAGGUAGUUGGUGGGGUAAAGGCCUACCAAGCCUGCGAUCGGUAACUGGUCUGAGAGGACGACCAGUCACACUGGGACUGAGACACGGCCCAGACUCCUACGGGAGGCAGCAGUGGGGUAAUUUUGGACAAUGGGGGAAACCCUGAUCCAGCAAUGCCGCGUGUGUGACGAAGGCCUUCGGGUUGUAAAGCACUUUUGGCGGGAACGAAACGGCGCUUUCUAAUACAGAGCGCUAAUGACGGUACCCGCAGAAUAAGCACCGGCUAACUACGUG